rnacentral:lncRNA from 1 species
UUUUUUUUUUUCCUUUUUGAGAAUUUGCUUACUUUUUGACAUUACAAGAUUCUAAGCUUAUCUUGUAUAUUUUCUGCCCAGAAACUAAAUCUAUUAUUUCUCCAAGAAACCUUGGUUUCUUUCUGUGGAGAACGGUAUUAGAAAAAAAGAUCUGGGUACUAGGUGUAUCAUAACUUGUAUCAUAACUUGUAAUAUCUAAUAUCCAUAGAUAUUACUAUAUGUGACUACCUGUAUCUAUAGUAAGUUAGACAUGAGUUUAUAGUGAUGUCUCCAACUCCAACCCAUGUCUAAGUCCAUUAUGACAUGGUUCAUUCUAAUAUGCUUCCUUCAGUUUUCUGUGAACUCCCAUUUGAAUUAUGAGGAAUCUGUCUUUCACCAUUUAUCACCCAUUUACUUAAUUGUUCAAAUCCAGGAUACAUGUAUAGCGGUAUCAGAUUUGUUAACACCUAUCAGUAUGAAAUCAACUUUAUCAGCUAGAGCACAGUGCUUAUAUACUGUUCCUUUUCCCUGAUUCUUACAGACUCCACUCAUUUUCAAAAUUAUUUAGGUCUGCAUCUUUCUUCCCACCACCCUCAGUGAUGUUUCACAUGCUUAUAAUACUGCUAGAUUCUGUAUUCCAACCUAGGAUUCUCUGGCCACUUAAAUGAUCUAUAUUUAAGUUGAAUGCAUAAAGGUUAACUUCUUGUGUUAUAAAGCAUAUGGUUUUGACAAAAGUGUAGUGUGGUUUCACUGCCCUAAAAAAACAUCUUAUAUUUCAUAUAUCUAAUACCCCACUGCACAUCUCUGUUUCCCUCACCUCCAAAUCCCUUGAAAACUUUGAUCUUAUAACUGUAGCGGUGAUAUUGCCUUUCCAGAUUGCCAUAUAAUUGGAACUACAAAGUCAUUAGCCUUUUCACACUGGCUUUUUAAAUUUUGCAGUCUGCAGUUAAGGUUCCUAUAUGUGGCUGCUUUUGUAGCUCAUUUAUUUUUAUUGCUGAAUAAUAUUCCAUUUUAUGAAUGCUUGUUAUUUACUCACCUAUUGAAGACAUUUGAGUUGGCUUUAGUUUCAGGCAAUUAUGAAUAAUAUUAGUAUACAUAUUUGUAUACAGGUGUUUGUGUGGGCGUAAGUUUUCAAAUCAGUUGGGUAAAUACUAAGGAGCAGAAUUCCUGGAUCAUAAUGUAAAAUGACAGUUAGCUUUAUAAUAAACUGACAAACUCUCCUCCAAAACGUCUGUAUCAUUUUGCAUCUCCAGUAAAAUAAAUGACAGUUCCUCUUGAUUUAUAUCUUCUAUAGCAUUUGAUAUUAUCAUUCUUUUGGAUUUUUAGCCAAUUUAAGAGGUAUGCAGUAGUAGCUCACUGUUAUUUUAAUUCACAGUUCCCUGAUGACAAAUGAUGAUUUUUCUUAUUGAUUUCUAGUUUAAUUCCACUGUCACCUGAGAACAUACUUUGUAUGAUUUCUGCUUUAAAAAUAUAAAGGUGGGUUUUAUGGCCUAGAAUGUGGUCUAUUUGGUGAAUGGUCCACAUGUGACAAGAAUGCUUAUUCUAUCAAUGCCAAUUAAAUGCAGUUGAUUGAUAGUACUGUUAAGGUCAACUAUAUUCUUGCUGAUUUUGUGUCUUUUUUGAUAUACCAAUUACUAAAAAAGGAAAGUUGAAGCCUAGAGCUAUAAUAGUGAAUUUGUGUAUUUCUCCUCACAGUUGUAUAAUUUUUCACCUCACAUGUGUUGGUGCUUUGUUAUUAAGCACAUACACAUUUAGGAUUGUUAUACCUUCUUGGAGACUUACCCUCUUUAUCAUUAUGUAAUACUGAUUUAUCAAUACCUACAUUAUCACACUGGCAUGUCCAAAAGACAUACCUUACACUGCAACUAUAAGAAAUAAAUUUGUGAGGGGACCCCCAGCAUCCUUGAAGACUUCUAUGCCCUCUCUUUUUCUUAGUCCAGACCUUAGAGUGAGAACUUCAGUCACCUAAUUGGAAGCAAGGGUGGCAGGGGCCAAGUGGCAAAACUCAGCAGCCAAAGACAAAGAAGGCAUGAUUACUAUGAUGGACAGCAGAGUCAAAGCAGCGGUCAUAAGGGUUUGGGUUGGAGGAGUAAAUUAAAUAGCAAAGACGGAGUUCCCAUCAUGGCACAGCAGAGACAAAUCCAACUAGGAACCAUGAGGCUGUGGGUUCAACCCUGGCCUCACUCAGUGGAUCAAGGAUCUGGCCUGCCGUGAGCUGUGGUGUAGGUCGCAGAUGCAGCUUGGAUCUGGUGUUUCUGUGGCUGUGGCACAGGCCAGUGGCUGUAGCUCAGAUUAGACCCCUAGCCUGGGAACCUCCAUAUGCUGCCAGUGCAGCCCUAAAAAGACAAAAGACAAAAAAAAAAUGGCAAAGAGAUGAGGGAAAAUUUUUAGAGUGAUGAAACUCUUCUGUAUAUUUACUGUGGCUGUACAUAUAUAAUGGUACACAUUUUUCAAAACUCACUGAACUCUAUACUUUAAAGAGGUAAUUUUUUCUAUAUGUAAACUAUGAUGCAAUCAGCCAGACUUAAAAAAGCCACAGAGAUAAAUGUGGUGCAAUGGAAAUAAAAUAAUCUUAGGAUUCAAAAAUGCUUGAGUGUGAUUUCUAGUUUCUCUGCUUAUGAGCUCUGUCAUUUAACCAUUCACCCACUGAUCCAUCCAUCUAUUCAAUCAAAAUUUUAAAAAUAUUCCAUAUGUUGAGAAUGGUUAACUAACUAGAUAGGCAAAAUCAUUGCCUUCUUGAUCCAGUAUAUUUGAACUGAUGUCUGAAAAAUAAGAAGGAAUAACUGGGGGAACCAUCUAGGAAAUGCAUUCUAGGCAAAGAUAAAAUAAGGCAGUGGAAAGAGAUGGGAACAAGAAUUACAUGUUUGAAAGUAGUGUAGAACACCCAUGUGGCUGUAAUGAGUGAGCUAAGAAGUAGAAGGAGAUGACAUCAGAGGAGUGGCAGUUACCAGACCAUAGAUGCACCCAUGGGCUCUGAUAAAUGGGGGUUUUAUUCUGAAAGCAAUGUUAAUCCACUAAAAGGCUUUAAGCCAAAUAUGUCACAUGCUCAGAUACAUGUUUUAAAAGGCACUAUUCCAGUCAAUGUACGGAGAAUUGCCUAAGGCAGGUGGGUAAUGUUGGAAGAUAGGGACAGAAUGAAAACUGAUGGAUCAGACAUGGUGAGUGAGAAAAAUAAAGGAUGUCUUAGGAUUCUUUACUGAACCUACUUGACUUUUUAAAAAAUUUUGUUAAGUGAAACUAGUAAAAUUUAUUUAAUAAUUCUAUUGAGAGGGUUACUUGAGACAAUAUAUGUAGGAUACUGAUAACAGAGUCUACCACAGAUUGAGGUGCCCACAUAUUAUUUGCUAAUUUUUUGUCCAUCAAAAUUUUAUCAGUGUGAAUACAAAUAGAUAUCUUUGUCCUUCAGAAAACACUCAGAACCUAAUUUUUUAACUGUCAAAUCAGAUUCUAUUGCUCUCUUUCUCUAAGGCCUAAUUAUCAUCCAGUUUUUGAAAUAAGUAACAGCUAAACAGAAUUGAAGGAUUUGGCUUCUGGGGGAAGGGGUUGAGGGGGGCAUAUAUACCUUGUAUUGGUUCGAAAACGGGGGUCUUUUUUAUAAAAGGUAAGAGAUAUUUCACACAGUCCCACUUCUCACUUAAUACUUAUUAAAAAUACUAAUUCUUCCAUUUAAAAAUGACAAAUUAAACUUUAUAUUUGGAGAAACCAGUAAAAGUAAAUAUCAUCAAUGUCUUAUAUAUGAGAUUUUCCUUCUGAGAACACUUUACUUUUUUAGUAUAAAUCUGUAAACAUAUUUAAAUCUAUUUUAAUUACAGAGAAUUAUAACCAGGUUCUGAAAAUUUGAUUUUCUGUGUAAUAGCCUUAUGAUCAUGAUGAAGGGCUUACCAAUUUCUCCAAGAUAUAAAUGAUUUACUCCUUAAAUUCUCUGAAGCAACAGAUGUCGUCAGUAAUUUUCUGCAUAUUUAUUUUUUCAUUACUUAAUUACUUCAAUCCUGGUUCCAUUUAAGUGUUAUUUCUGAGGGUUAGUGAAAUGAUCCACUUGGAUGACUAUAUCAAUAAAACCUCAGCUAGCUAAUGGAUAUAAUAAGCAUGAUAUUCCUUGAGUUAAUGAAUAAAAAAUCACAUAGUGUUACAGAGAUUAUGCCAUCUGAUAAAUAGAAAGAAAAUAAGAAUAAAAUAUUAACAAAGAAUCAAAGAAAUAUGGGGCACCAUUAAGAACACCAAGAUCCACAUAAAAGGAAUCAAAGAUGGAGAAGAGAAGGAAAAGAGCAGGAAAAAAUAAUAACUGUAAGUGCUUAAAUCUGAGGAAAAAUAUUAAUCUACAUUUCCAAAAAGUUCAAUGAACCCCAAGUAGGAUAAAUGCAAAGAAAUUCACACUCAGAUUUAUCAUACUAAAAAGUAUUGAAAGUCAAAGACACACACAAAGUCAAAGACAAAGAAAAAAAUACUAAAAACAGAAAGAGAAAAAGGAUUAAUCACAUACUAGGAAACCCCAAUUAUAUCAAUGACUGACUUUUAUUCAAAAAAAAUGGAGGCCAGAACACAGUGGGACAGCAUACCUAAAGUGCUGCAGAAAAUGAAGAACAUUCAACCAAUAAUUAUAUCCAGAAAAAUAAUGUUUUAAAAAUACUAAGACCAAAUAAAAACAUUCUGAGAAAACUCAUUGGUAGCAGAUCAAUCCUACAAGAAAUAUUAAAGAAAGUUCUUCAGAAAGAAUGAAUAUAAGUAUGUAUGACUGGGUCACUUUCUUGUACAGUAGAAAUUGACACAACACUGUAAAUCAACUAUAAUGGAAAAAUAAAAAUCAUAAAAAAACAAAAAAUAAAUAAAAAGAAAGUUCCUUAGGCAAAAAGCAACUAACAUACAGAAAAAAUUUUAUCUACAUGAAAAAAGAAAGUGCAUCACUUAAAGUAACCAUGAAAAUAGUUGUAAAAUAACUAUAAUUUCACAUUUAUUUUCAUUUUGGUCUUAUUUAAUUUGAAAAGCAAUUACCUGAAAACAUAGGCCAAACACUCUGAGAUAAACCAUAGCAAUAUCUUCUCAGAUCCACCUCCUAGAGUAAUGACAACAAAAACAAAAAUAAACAAAUGGGACCUAAUUUAACUUAAAAAUUUCUGUACAGCAAAGGAAACCCUAAACAAAAUGAAAAGACAACCCACAGAAUGGGAGAAAAUACUUUCAAAUGAAGCAACUGACAAAGGAUUGAUCUAUAAAAUUUCUAAAUACUUCUUGCAACUAAAUACCCAAAAAACAGACAACCCCAUCAAAAAAAUGGGCAGAAGAUCUAAACAGACAUUUCUCCAAAGAAGACAUACAGAUGGCCAAAAAACACAUGAAAAGAUUGUUAGAGAAGUACUAAUUACUAGAGAAAUACAAAUCAAAACUACUAUGAGGUACUACCUUACACAGCCGAAAUGGCCAUCAUCAAAAAUUCUAUAAACAAUAAAUGCUGGAAAGGGUAUGGAGAAAGGGAACCCUAUUACACUCUUGGUGGGAAUGUAAAUUGAUGCAACUAUUAUGCAAAACAGUAUGGAGAUUACUCAAAAAAACUAAAAAUAGAACUACCAUUUGACCCAGCAAUCCCACUCCUGGGCAUCUAUCCAGAGAAAACCAUGACUCGAAAAGAUAUGUACUCCAAUGUUCAUUGCAGCACUAUGUACAAUAGCCAAGACAUGGAAACAGCCUAGAAGUCCAAUGACAGAGGAGUGGAUAAUGAAGAUGUUGUACAUAUACACAAUGGAAUAUUACUCAGCCAUUAAAAGGAAAGAAAUAGCAGUAUUUGCAGCAACAUGGAUGGACCUAGAAAUUAUCACGCUAAGUGAAGUUGGUCAGACAGUGAGACAUCAAUGUCACAGGCUAUCACUUAUAUGUGGAAUCUGAAAAAAGGAUACAAUAAACUUCUUUGCAGAACAGACAGUGACUCACAGACUUUAAAAAACUUAUUGUUUCCAAAGGAGACAGGUUGGGGGGGUGGAGGGGAUGGACUGGGUUUGGGGAUGGAAAUGUUAUAAAAUUGGGUUGUGAUGAUUGUUGUCCAACUAUAAAUGUAAUAAAAUUCACUGAGUUAAAAAAAAAGGAUAACAAGGCAAAAAUAAAUAAAUAAAAAGCAAUUACCUUAAACAACAAUUAUAUUGUUGGAUCUACAGCACAUACAAAUGUAAUAUAUCAGAAAAACAAAAGAGACAGAUGGGAAAAUUGUUCUGGAAAUAAAAUGACACUUUAUGGCAACUCAAGUUUACUUAAUAUAACAAAAAGUGUAUAUAUAUAUCCUUGUUACAUUUUCUUCCCUCAGCUUCUUUAAAAUACAUAAAAUUAUACAGACUGACAAACAUAAUGUAUUGAUGGCUUUAUUUUAUAUGUAGGUAUAAUAUCUAUAACAAUAACAGCAAAAACUAAGAAGAGAA